AGUUUGAUCCUGGCUCAGAACGAACGUUGGCGGCGUGGAUUAGGCAUGCAAGUCGAGCGAGGACAGUGCUGUAGCAAUACAGUGCUGAGCCGAGCGGCGUAAGGGGCAGUUAUGUGUGGGUAACCUACCUCCUGGUUUGGGAUAGCCUCGGGAAACUGAGGGUAAUACCGAGCGAUGUAGUUGAGGCGCAUGUCUCGACUACCAAAGGUCAGCCGCCGGGGGAGGGGCUCACAUGGUAUUAGCUAGUUGGUGGGGUAAUGGCCCACCAAGGCGAUGAUGCCUAGCAGGUGUGAGAGCACGACCUGCGCCACUGGCACUGAGACACUGGCCAGACACCUACGGGUGGCUGCAGUCGAGAAUCUUCGGCAAUGGGCGCAAGCCUGACCGAGCGACGCCGCGUGUGCGAUGAAGGCCUUCGGGUUGUAAAGCACUGUCAGGGGGGAACAAAUCAAUGAGUGAUCCCCAGAGGAAGCACGGGCUAAGUUCGUGCCAGCAGCCGCGGUAAGACGAACCGUGCGAACGUUGUUCGGAACCACUGGGCUUAAAGGGCGCGUAGGCGGUUUGCCAAGUCGGGGCUGAAAUCUUUCGGCUUAACCGGAAAAGUGGCUUCGAUACUGGCAAGCUGGAGGGAGGUAGGGGCAGAUGGAACUUCCGGUGGAGCGGUGAAAUGUGUUGAUAUCGGAAGGAACGCCGGUGGCGAAAGCGAUCUGCUGGACCUCUUCUGACGCUGAGGCGCGAAAGCCAGGGGAGCAAACGGGAUUAGAUACCCCGGUAGUCCUGG
rnacentral:rRNA from 1 species